CUGAGUUCCGUCCUCUUUCUCUUGGGGGAACCAAUCAUAACCUCGACGGAUCCGUUCCCGCAAUUACUCGACGGAGUAACCCACUAUGAAAAUGGGAGGCAAUCAAUUUGUUCUUCAAUGCAGAAUUUUCACCUCCUAUCAAACAACUGUAAUAUAUAUAUAUAUGUCAUUGAGUUACUGGAUCAAAUUCAUAAAUCUUAACAUCGCAGUCAUGCAAAAGAACAAGAUUUAUGAAUUCUUCAGAGAUUUGCAGACCAGCUUGAUAUUUAACACGAUCAAUGUACACUAGAGUGGAGUUCUGCAAGAGAUUGUGUGGCGUCUGAGUGAUCAGAAGUAUUUACAGUGGAGAAAGCAGGUAGAACACACUAAGAGCUUGCUGUACGGUAUUAAGAUUCUUAAUACACAUAGAGAAUAGUGGAUGGUGUCAGUUGAUAUAUGAGAAGUUACCAAAAGAUAUCGCAAGCCUGACAUCUCAGGAAAUUCUGCAGUGAAUGUUAUAUCUAAUAUCUUUGCUUAUUAGCAAGGGAGUUCCAGAAUCGCAUAUUAUCUUUCUUAACGCCAUAGCAGCACCUCAAGGGAUUCACCGGCUCUGCAAGAAACAUCCAAUGGUAAAGAUUGUGACUUCAGAAAUCGAUGACUCCCGUGUGAUUCCAGGUCUGGGAGAAUUCGCAGACCAUUACUUUGGCAAAGAAUGAAAGUCUCAACGGGGCUUUCACGGUUAUCCAAGACAAGGAAAGGAUCUAUUACAACAUUCAAAAGAAGUGGACAAGUUGCAGCUCAUCUCGAAAAAGCUGCAAGACUAGCUAGGAAAAAAUAUUGAGGGACAAUAAAGUUCUCACCUCCUAACCUCGUUUCUAACUGCAGGUCACAAUCGCCAUAUCCACCUGCAUACGUAGCUCCGCAGAGAAGUGGGGAAUCUAGAAGUCUCCAAGAUUGUAAUGUUCAAACUUCUCUGAACCAGCUAAAGCUAAACAAAACAGAGCUUUCAGGAUUCAGCUUAUAAACUUUAAACGUCAACAAAGUAUGGCAACAAAGCCAAACACAUCGUCCAUGAACAGCAGCAGCACCACUUCAACCACGUCCAAAGAACAUAGGAACCAGGAAAAGCAACAGCUUCAGCAAUUGAGAUUUGGUAACAUGUCCUAUAUGUAAUACCUUAGUGUGGACCAGUGAACCAGUAAGGAUAGUCAACCACCAUGCCAAUAGGACGUUCUACAUAUGUUGUAACAAGGAAGUUGAGCGCCUACCACUCCGCGAACUUCCUUCACCUUUGAAAGAGCUCCUUGGCACACCAGGGUUCCGAGUUUUAAUAAGUGUUGCGAAUGGAAUGAUUGCUUUUACUUCAACGGGUGCUCAUGUCGAUCAUACUAUCACUGGACAACCUGGCCAUUCAUUUACCUAAUACAUGCUCAAAACCAACACCGUAUCUGUUCACUCUUGCAUGUUGACGAAGAACCCCCACAGUAUCUCCAGCUAUAUAUUUUUAUACUGUAAAUAAAAUAGAAAAAGAAGAAAGCCUUAUGAAAAGGAUCAUCAACUAUAAACUUAGACGACCAAGUUUCACAUUUGUCCCUCUCACCUUCGAUUGAUAUGUCAGUUAUCCUCAUCUUCGGUUUAAUUAUUUAUAAAUAAAUAUUUAAAUAAAACAGAGUUCUAAAUACAAAAUUGACGUAGCAUAGCUUAAUUUUGUGUGAAAUUUUCAGAAUAUAAAAAUUGACAGUUCUUUAAAAAAUAUAAAAGUUGAAAAUAUUUUUUUUAAAAAAAACAAAUCUAAAGUUUAAAAUACUUAUAUAAAAACUAAGAAAUAAAAAGAUGAGCCAAAAGAUUAAAAAAAAGGUUUGGAAGAGAAAAAAACAUGAAAGACACAAGUAUAUGGCUAAUGUCUGCAUAUUCAAGUUAUCAUACUUAAAUACAAAUUUUGUAGGAUAAAUAGAAAAAAAUUAGAACGAAAGAGAAAAAUCUAAUUAUAGUAUUGUUUUUGAAGUGUUAUCAUGAACUUUGCGUUUUUUACACUGAGCUCAAGUUAAAGAAAUUAGCAAAAAGAAAGAUGGAAACCAUAACGAAUGAUUAAUAAACCAUCAAAACAAAUAUUUUUAUAAAAAUUAUAUUAAAAUUAAAGUUUAGAAGAUAUAACAAAUAAAAAUGAAAAAUUAUUAAAAAUACAUAAUAUAAUUGCGAAAAUAAGUCAACAAACAAUAAUUUAGUGAAAUGCAUAUCUAAUCUAAAAUAUAUUUAAACUUCCAAAAUAUCUAAAACUCAUAACAAAAAAAAAGAGAUACAUUUGCGAUAUAAUUUUUCACAUUUCAUCAAACUCAAACCAAGGGAAAAAAAAUCUAUUCACGCAAAUAUUUCAAACUUUACAAAUUGAUAUGAAAUUGAUGGAAAAGCACAAGCAGUGAAUAUACAUACUCAAAACAUUUUAUUUUUUAAAGUAAAAUUAUCUAAGAAAUAAUAAUAAAAAUAUCCAUAGGACUAUCACCAACUAUCGACACACUUUUAAAGAAUCAAAAUGACAUCAUAACAUCAUUUCUUGAACUUUUAUAUUUAAACAAAUAACUACAAAGUUCUGACUAACCGCGAUACACAAAAGUCUACAAAAAAAAACAUACGAUAGUGGAUGAUCUCAAAUAAAUCAAUAAAACAAA